rnacentral:rRNA from 1 species
AUUGAACGCUGGCGGCAGGCCUAACACAUGCAAGUCGAACGAGUGGCGGACGGGUGAGUAAUGUCUGGGAAACUGCCUGAUGGAGGGGGAUCACUACUGGAAACGGUAGCUAAUACCGCCUACCAUCGGAUGUGCCCAGAUGGGAUUAGCUAGUAGGGGGGGUAAAGGCUCACCUAGGCGACGAUCCCUCGCUGGUCUGAGAGGAUGACCAGCCACACUGGAACUGAGACACGGUCCAGACUCCUACGGGAGGCAGAAGUGGGAAAUAUUGCACAAUGGGCGCAAGCCUGAUGCAGCCACGCCGCGUGUAUGAAGAAGGCCUUCUGGUUGUAAAGUACUUUCAGCGGGGAGGCGUUACCCGCAGAAGAAGCACAGGCUAACUCCGUGCCAGCCGCCGCGGUAAUAC